ensembl:ncRNA C10A4.12 ncRNA
GUGGCGAUGAGAGGUUGACGCGCACAUGCCUAAAAAUGUUAUAUUGAGGCAACAGAUGGAGCAUAUCUGUAGGAAGGUGAACACCCUCCCCCUUCCGUUAUACUCACUUGUUUCUCUACAUCACGCAAUCGAGAACCGAUCAUUUUAAUCCCGGCUGUUGCUGCCGGAAAUUUCCCAUCUCAGUAA